rnacentral:misc_RNA from 1 species
UCCAGGUUAUCCCUGGCGGUCUCCUGCGAGUUCCACCUUUCGGUAUGGCAACACAGGACGAGGGUUGCGCUCGUUGCGGGACUUAACCCAACAUCUCACGACACGAGCUGACGACAGCCAUGCAGCACCUCGACUCCGGUCCCUUGCGGGAAAGUCCUGUUUCCAGGAUUGUCCAAAGCCGUUCGAGCCUAGGUAAGGUUCUUCGCGUUGCGUCGAAUUAAACCACAUGCUCCACCGCUUGUGCGGGCCCCCGUCAAUUCCUUUGAGUUUCAGCCUUGCGACUGUACUCCCCAGGCGGCAUAUUUAACGCGUUAGCUCCGGCACGGAUCAACUGAAUGACCCACACCAAAUAUGCAUCGUUUAGGGCGUGGACUAC